rnacentral:lncRNA from 1 species
UCGGAUAGGGGCCACCACAAUACAAAGUUAACUUUUUUCAUUUUUUUAUUGUCAUGAGAAACAUAAUUCCAUAUUGGUCAUUAUCAAAGUUAAUUAAAAAAAUACCAUACCUGCUAAGGAGAAGGCAUGGUCCAGUUUUCUGUGUGGCCAGUUACAUUUCAGUGGGUGGCUAGCCAGCAGUCUUCUCUUGGCCACACAAAAUGGAUCUACAAAUAACAUUCGUUUCCUCUGAAAAGAUGGGGGACGGAGCUGGCAAGAUCUGUGUGCUGGAGCCUGGGACCUGCCUGCCAUUUGGUCUUCUGUCAGGCAUUGCCAAGGAGGUCAUUAAUCUUCAACUUACUGCCCAGUCUUUGGGGGGGGGGGGUGUUUUCCUUGUUGUGCUUUGUUCGGCAUUGACAUUCAGGAUUCCUUUACAGGGAUCUAUGUGGGGGCAGGAAAAAUGCUCUGUGAAUUAUGUCCUCGAGAAGUCACCAUCUGGUCAAUAUUCAUCUUGCUUAGAGAAAUACCGAAGAUAUGUGCCGGACGCAGAUGUUAAUGCAGAUCACAAGGCACCAGUGACCGAGGUUCUAGCACGGUGCCUGGGAUACAGUACAUAUUUCACAAAUAUAUGUUCAUCGAUCGAUAGUUUCUACCCAAUGUUAACCUACGAGAAAAAAAAAAUGGUCAAAGCAGCUGAUGGAGCAAUUCUGCCAAAUCCCAAGAGGAAUCUUGUUCUGAAAACAGCUGCUCUCUGGGUUUCUUGCUUUCCCUGUGGACUAUGCCCAGGGCUGCUUUACUCCAGUGGAAGUGGGAUGGCAGCCAGAGGCAAAGGUCAUCGCAGUCUGGGAAGCCCUUCCCUUGACACACUGAUGAAAAAACAAGCUAUGUCAAGAAAUAGAAAUGCAUGAGGGUAAAUAACUAUGUAGAGGCCACUCUGUGUCGGUUGGGAAGAAGUCCUCAAGUAUUCAACUUUUUAUGAAUAACUAGAAGGAAAAAGGAAUAAUAGCUCACACUUGUGUAGGUCUUUAAGGUUUGCAAAGUGCUUUAUAGACAUUAUCUCAUUCGACCCUCACAGUAACUUUAUGAGUAUUGUUUUAUACCUGUUUUACAAAUGAGGAAACUGAGGCUCAAAAAGAAUACGAUCUCCUCAGGUCACACGGCCAGUAAGAGGUUGAAGAAGGAUUGCACUUCUGUUCUCGGUGAUUCCAAGUUUGGCAUUCUAUCUACUACUGUAUUGUUUCAAAAGACAAUAUGAUCAAUAUAUGGUUUGAUGGGGAUAUGAUUGGGGAUUUUGACCUAAAAUGAUCACUCUAUUGCAAAUAUGAAUAAUAUGGAAAUAGGAUUUGAACAAUGAUACAUGUAAAACCCAGUGGAAUUGCUCGUCAGAUCUGGGAGGAGG